GUGCUUAACACAUGCAAGUCGAACGGAAAGGUCUCUUCGGAGAUACUCGAGUGGCGAACGGGUGAGUAACACGUGGGUAAUCUGCCCUGCACUUCGGGAUAAGCCUGGGAAACUGGGUCUAAUACCGGAUAGGACCUCAAGGCGCAUGCCUUUGUGGUGGAAAGCUUUUGCGGUGUGGGAUGGGCCCGCGGCCUAUCAGCUUGUUGGUGGGGUGACGGCCUACCAAGGCGACGACGGGUAGCCGGCCUGAGAGGGUGUCCGGCCACACUGGGACUGAGAUACGGCCCAGACUCCUACGGGAGGCAGCAGUGGGGAAUAUUGCACAAUGGGCGCAAGCCUGAUGCAGCGACGCCGCGUGGGGGAUGACGGCCUUCGGGUUGUAAACCUCUUUCACCAUCGACGAAGGUUCGGGUUUUCUCGGAUUGACGGUAGGUGGAGAAGAAGCACCGGCCAACUACGUGCCAGCAGCCGCGGUAAUACGUAGGGUGCGAGCGUUGUCCGGAAUUACUGGGCGUAAAGAGCUCGUAGGUGGUUUGUCGCGUUGUUCGUGAAAUC
rnacentral:rRNA from 1 species